rnacentral:sRNA from 1 species
GGGUGCAGGCUGAGGAGCUGCCCAGAGCACCGCUCACACUCCCAGAGUACCUGAAGUCGGCAUUUCAAUGACAGGUGACAAGGGUCCCCAAAGGCUAAGCGGGUCCAGCUAUGGUUCCAUCUCCAGCCCGACCAGCCCGACCAGCCCAGGGCCACAGCAAGCACCUCCCAGAGAGACCUACCUGAGAAACAUCGAGUCAGAUCUUCAGACUGGCGCCGUGGCGGGAUUCAAACUUCUCUGGGUGCUGCUCUGGGCCACGGUGUUGGGCUUGCUCUGCCAGCGACUGGCUGCACGUCUGGGCGUGGUGACAGGCAAGGACUUGGGCGAGGUCUGCCAUCUCUACUACCCUAAGGUGCCCCGCACCGUCCUCUGGCUGACCAUCGAGCUAGCCAUUGUGGGCUCCGACAUGCAGGAAGUCAUCGGCACGGCCAUUGCAUUCAAUCUGCUCUCAGCUGGACGGUACCACCCCAGUGUACCCCAACUCUUCAGGCCAGGCAGAGAACAGCUGCUGCUACUUCCCCCCACCCAGUCCCUCCCAGAGUCUAUUUUAUCCUGCUGUCCCCUCUGAAGCAGGGCUGCUGCCCUGUUUUCCAGAAAUGUAAAGUGACUUGUCUAAAGUCACACAGAUGUGAGUCAUGCAGGACUUUGGGACUGCAGCCCUAAACUCCCUGCUGCGCCGGGUGCCAGGUCUCUCCUCUAGCUCUGCCCUACCUCGACUGUUCUAUGCCACACUCCCACUCCCCUUGCCCUAGCUGUCUGGGGGCGCUUAGGGUCCUGCUCCCAGGAGGCCAGAUUCCUGUCUCCAGCCCUGAGGCUCCGUAGGAGUUAGAGACCCCUGGACCAGGCUGGGCUGACCCGGGCCACUCUGGUUUCAGAAUCCCACUCUGGGGUGGCGUCCUCAUCACCAUCGUGGACACCUUCUUCUUCCUCUUCCUCGAUAACUACGGGCUGCGGAAGCUGGAAGCUUUUUUUGGACUCCUUAUAACCAUUAUGGCCUUGACCUUUGGCUAUGAGUAUGUGGUGGCGCGUCCUGAGCAGGGAGCGCUUCUUCGGGGCCUGUUCCUGCCCUCGUGCCCGGGCUGCGGCCACCCCGAGCUGCUGCAGGCGGUGGGCAUUGUUGGCGCCAUCAUCAUGCCCCACAACAUCUACCUGCACUCGGCCCUGGUCAAGGUGAGCAGAGGGGAGGGGAAAGGAGACCACCUCACUCAGUCGGAGUCAUGCUGGCUCCGCCUCCAAGCCUGGAGCCCCUCCCCUCUGGCUCCUUCCGUCAGGAUUUGCGGAGCCUGUAAUAAUUGAGGGUCAGGCGAGGCGCCAUGGCUCACGCCUGUAAUCCCAGCACUUUGGGAGGCGGAGGCGGGCGGAUCACGAGGUCAAGAGAUCGACACCAUCCUGGUCAACAUGGCGAAACCCCGUCUCUACUAAAAAUACAAAAACUAGCUGGGCGUGGUGGCGCGCGCCUGUAGUCCCAGCUGCUUGGGAGGCUGAGGCAGGAGAAUCGCUUGAACCCGGGAGGCAGGGGUUGCGGUGAGCCGAGAUCGCGCCACUGCACCACUCCAGCCUGGCGACAGAGCGAGACUCUGUCUCAAAAAAAAA